rnacentral:rRNA from 1 species
CCUACGGGUGGCAGCAGUGGGGAAUAUUGGUCAAUGGGCGCAAGCCUGACCCAGCAACGCCGCGUGAAGGAAGACGGCUUUCUGGUUUGAAACUUCUUUUGUCAGGGAAGAGUAGAAGACGGUACCUGACGAAUAAGCUACGGCUAACUACGUGCCAGCAGCCGCGGUAAUACGUAGGUGGCAAGCGUUAUCCGGAUUUACUGGGUGUAAAGGACGUGUAGCCGGGUUGAUAAGUCAGAUGUGAAAUCCUGCGGCUUAACCGUAGAAUUGCAUUUGAAACUGGUGAUCUUGAGUACAGGAGAGGCAGGUGGAAUUCGUAGUGUAGCGGUGAAAUGCGUAGAUAUUACGAAGAACACCAGUUGCGAAGGCGGUCUGCUGGACAGUAACUGACGGUGAGGCGCGAAAGCGUGGGGAGCAAACAGGAUUAGAUACCCUUGUAGUC